rnacentral:lncRNA from 1 species
CAUUCAACACUGUAUGUCCCAUUUUUUUGCUAUGCAACACUGGUAGCAAAAUAUCAUGUGUAUAGGAUUUGUUUGUGCAACACUAGCAGCAAAACAUACUCUUUUUGCUAACAAAAUUCACCAACCCUGCUAAUGUGUUAUCAUGUGUAUUUUUUUCUUUUGCAUCAGGAUACGAAGUUGUUGCUCAAUUUCCGGACGUUUGUUGCAGCAAAGCUUUUCAAGCACCCGCAAAACACUCUCAACUCAGCAGAAGAGUUCCAGGCCUUGUUGAAGGGGAAAAGGUCAUAGACGAUGGAGCCCUAGAUGAUGCCAAUCAGGAGGACAAACACCUUGCUAGUUUGUUUAGGCUAUUAUUGGGUCCAUCAUUUUCUUUUUUGUAACUGAAACAUGUUGCUUGCUAUCUCGUUUUUGUAACUGGAAUCAGCUAGUUGAUAUUACCUAUCACCUUCUUUAGUACUCUAUGGAACCCAAACUAAAGCAUGUGUCAUGCUGGGGAUGUUCCUUUUUCUUUUAUUUAUUGAAUGUCGGAGCAUCAUCCAUUGCUAAGCUUCAAUGUGGUACAGUAGAGAUGAAUUUUUCAGAUAUGAUAAUGAAAUGACUAC